rnacentral:tRNA from 1 species
CUUUUACCCAGCAGAACAGGGUUCGACUCCCUGGGGACCCAC